UUCAUGGCUUGGCAGCAGUCUUGGACUGGUUUCCAAAAAGUUUUGGAAACUUCCCCUGGUUUCCGAUGCUGUCUUUUGUUUUUCUCCGCUGUUUUUAGUCCGCCGAAGGGGAGAAAAAUCCAGCGAACAGAAGCCUCUCUUUCCUAGAACCUGUCGGGAGAUCCGAGAAGAACCUUUGGGGUCCAGCAAACGUGAGGCUGUGUCCUUCUCUGUGGGCAAAGUGACAAAGGUGGUGCUUACCCGCUCCUGCUUCCUCCGGCUGGAUGCAGACCGAAGCCAGGCUGAAAAGGGAGAAGAUGACGAAGGCUAAGAUGAUGAAGCCGUACCUUCUGAGCGUGGACACUCCUCGUUGAUCAUCCCGAUGAGCGUGAAGAGGGCGAACACCAGAAUGGAGAACAUGAUCGUCCACACUUCAAGCUCGGUCAGCGAGGCCAUCGAUCCGGACGCGCUCCCACGGCUGUGUGUUGACAGUAAUAUCAGUAAAAUCACCAGCACCGCAAAGGUACGGGGCUCAUCACAGCGUAUAAAAAAAAAUAAAAAAUCAGAGUUAAACACUUACCUGCUGGGUCACAGGAGCAUUCAGCGGCAGACGAUCACGCUGCAGCUGCAGUUCAGGCCUUCUGCGCCUCUCUUUCUUUCACACUGUUGCAAGAGCUGCGAAGGGCUGACUUACACGUUCGGUCUCGAGUUCAAGAGAGAUCAUGUUCACCGUAAUUAUUUAUAGAGCCCGCGACUCUACAGCUACGUUUUCACUGAAUGCGGGAGGUUUUGAGGAUACUGAAAUGAAAGUUAAGCCAGGUUCUUGUAGCUUACUUCGGUUCUGAUGUUCCACUAUGUUGUGAUAGACGUCUGGUUGCAUUUGAACCCGUCUGUUCUUCUGAGCUGCUCUGCAUUAAAGCACAUUGGCGACCUCAGUCACCACAAAUGGUGGUUUUUCUUCAUUUUUAGCAUUUAACCGAAGAACAAGUGCACAAUCGACCUCCCUUGUUUUCCUAUUACGUUUUUUUUUUUUUUAUGAUUGUGCACGUCUAAGUACAUGAGUUUGAGAGACCACUUCUCUUCUGGGUUGUGGCUUACAGGACCAGUGCUGCUGCAGGUUCUGCAUUUUUCAUCUUUGUUCUGCAAAGUUCUUAGCGUAAAGAUGUUGCUGCACUGUGCAGAGUUUUGAGCUCAUUUCUAUAGCUGACAUGCAAAUUUAUUCACACAUCACAGUCACUUUACAGCCUUAAAACUUCAAUG